GAAAUGCGAUACGUAAUGUGAAUUGCAGAAUUCAGUGAAUCAUCGAAUCUUUGAACGCAUAUUGCGCCUUCUGGUAUUCCGGAGGGCAUGCUUGUUUGAGUAUCAGUAACAACCUCAACUCUUCUUCAUUGCGGAGAAAGAGUUGGAUUUGAGCAUUUCCACAAGUUCGUCUUGGAGGAUUGCUUAAAAUGCAGGUACAGCUGGGACUUCACAUUUCAAUGUCCAAGGCCACAAGCAUUUCUGUCUAGUCCGGUCAAAUGGAUUGUACCUUUUUGCUGCAGCCAAACGAUAGUUGGGGUCCCGAAACGCUGACUGAUGCAGGAUAUAAUUGACAGAUUUCGAGGGGGUUUCCUUUCGCCUUCGAUCUUUGUUUGUUCCACUCGAUCUCAAAUCAAGUAAG
rnacentral:misc_RNA from 1 species